AUUGAACGCUGGCGGCAGGCCUAACACAUGCAAGUCGAACGAGUGGCGGACGGUUGAGUAAUGUCUGGGAAACUGCCUGAUGGAGGGGGAUAACUACUGGACACGGUAGCUAAUACCGCAUACCAUCAGAUGUGCCCAGCUGGGAUUAGCUAGUUGGUGGGGUAACGGCUAACCAAGGCGACGAUCCCUCGCUGGUCUGAGAGGAUGACCAGCCACACUGGAACUAAGAGACGGUCCAGACUAAUACGGGAGGCAGCAGUGGGGAAUAUUGCACAAUGGGCGCAAGCCUGAUGAAGCCAUGCAGGGUGUAUGAAGAAGGCCUUCGGGUUGUAAAGUACUUUCAGCGGGGAGGCGUUACCCGCAGAAGAAGCACCGGCUAACUCCGUGCCAGCAGCCGCGGUAAUAC
rnacentral:rRNA from 1 species